rnacentral:rRNA from 1 species
AUUGAACGCUGGCGGCAUGCCUUACACAUGCAAGUCGAACGGCAGCACUGGAGCAAUCCUGGUGGCGAGUGGCGAACGGGUGAGUAAUAUAUCGGAACGUGCCCAGUCGUGGGGGAUAACGCAGCGAAAGCUGUGCUAAUACCGCAUACGAUCUAUGGAUGAAAGCGGGGGAUCGCAUGACCUCGCGCGAUUGGAGGGGCCGAUAUCAGAUUAGCUAGUUGGUGAGGUAAAGGCUCACCAAGGCGACGAUCUGUAGCUGGUCUGAGAGGACGACCAGCCACACUGGAACGGAGACACGGUCCAGAAUCCUACGGGAGGCAGCAGUGGGGAAUUUUGGGCAAUGGGCGCAAGCCUGAUCCAGCAAUGCCGCGUGCAGGAUGAAGGCCUUCGGGUUGUAAACUGCUUUUGUACGGAACGAAACGGCGAGCUCUAAUAAAGUUUGCUAAUGACGGUACCGUAAGAAUAAGCACCGGCUAACUACGUGCCAGCCGCCGCGGUAA